UACAGAGACUGCAAGCGUUAUUCGGAUUCACUGGGCGUAAAGGGUGCGCAGGCGGCCAAGUGUGUUAGGCGUGAAGCCCGAGGCUUAACCCCGGAAUUGCACCUAAAACUACAUGGCUAGAGCAUUGGAGAGGGUAGCGGAAUUCACGGUGUAGCAGUGAAAUGCGUAGAUAUCGUGAGGAACACCAGAGGCGAAGGCGGCUACCUGGACAAUUGCUGACGCUCAGGCACGAAAGCGUGGGGAGCAAAAGGG
rnacentral:rRNA from 1 species